AAUCUUUCACUUGUUUAAACUGAAUCUGGGUAUAAAAAUGAACCAUGUCCCAGCUAUACAGAAAAAAUCAAGAGAAAGGACCUAACUAUAUGGUGUGAAAAUGGAAUAUCCUUGUUUCUAUUUGAAGGUUCCUAGGAACCAUAGGGUAAAAUAAGUGGGAUCUAUUUGGUAUUCUGGAGGUUGGAAUCUUUGAAUAAUGGGGAGUUAGAUAUUUUAGGGACAUGUACUCAAUUUUGAGAUUUUAGUACAUUACAGAAACUUUAACUUGUCAUGUCAUUUAGUCAAUGAAUUUUUGAAGUUGCCUCAUAAUUUACUAUGUGCCCUGCCAAUAUCAUCUCUCAGGUUGGCAAGGAGUUAAUUCUUUGCUUAAACUGCACCAGAAUGCAAGCUGAACUCUUUGUUUUGACACCCAUUAUCUAGGUUAAGCUCAGUUUUGCUUGACCAGUGGAUCAUAUGAGCACUCGACGUAGUUUAUAGUCAGCUCUCAAUGUGGGAUAUAUGAUAGUUUUACUGAAUGGACUUGUGAAGGUUAUCAUGAUGAUAUGACCAAUGUGUUGGAACAACAACCUAGUAAAGACUCAAUCUUAGGUUUCUUAGGUCACUUGAUUGCGUUACUUGUGUAAUAUUUUGUGAACCCACAGGUUGUUUGAUUAUUGGAAACAAUACACACUAUACAAUAUGUAAAAGGAUAGAAACUGUGAUUUGAUUCAGCAACAAUGCUUUGUAAGAUAGAAGGUAUACACAUACCUAGACUCCAAUUUUGCAGAAUAAUCUAUAUAUGGUGGUUGCCCAUGAAUGAUUGGGCAGGCAUGAUUGCAUGAUGAAAAAAUGCAAGGUGUAUAGCAUGUGCCUGGUUGCAUUUUUGUUUAUAUAACUGCAUUGUCCCAAUGAUGCUUGUUGUAUCUAGGGAGCAUGAUUAUGUUUAUUUAUGUUUUUUAAGAAAGUUUGGCUUCAUUACAUGCUCAAUCUUUAAUAUUCAUAUUUUCAGAAUCCAGAAAAUAUUUAAUCUAUAUCAACUUAUGCAUUUGUUUAAACUUUUUGAGAUGGAUAUAAUGUACUUGUGUUAAUUGGAAAGGUGCUAAAUAGAGACUAGGUGUAGGAAGAUGUUUGCACUUAAGGGGCAUGUUGAUAUGGUCAACAAGCUUAUUUUUGUUGUUCUUGAAGACAGCAGCAUUAAUUGCAAAGAAUUAGGCUUUUUAUGAUCAUUAAUUUGCAAAUUUAAUGACAUUAAUUGUCAUAUAUUAGUUUUGAGCAAUGUGAUCUAUACCUCAGUUUGCUAUUAGUAGCAACCUCAAAAAGGAAAAAAAUGUGUAGUAAGAGGGGAUAGGGGAGAGGAAUAUGAGAGAGAGAAAUAUGAAUUUAUUAACUUAAUUUUUGUCAUAGGACAACAAGUUGGCGCUACCAUAUGAUAUCCACCAACUAUGGCAAUGGUGUGAUUAAUUAUUUGAUUUUCUGUCUCCUUCAGAUUGUUGCAUAAAUAUCAAAUUUGCCCAACUUUGAGAGAAUUUUAAUCAUGUCUUAUCAAAACCUUGUCUCCAUUAGCAAGUUGUGUUACAGCUAUCACAAACAAAAGGAGCAGGGGACCCCUUGUUAGUGACCUUUAUUGAUAAUGGAUGUCUCACAUCUACAUUGAAUUUGGAUAAUUAGGUUUAUACAGUUUGCCAGCAGCUUUAGUUUUAUAAUGUCGCUUUCAUCAGAUCUUGCACUUGAAAUCCCAAUAACAUAAAAGAAUAUUCAACCAAAGUAGUUCACAUGCUCAAUGAUAUAUUUUUGAAAGAACACAUGCUCCAAAAUUUAUAUAUUUUAUUUUUAAAGAUAUAUUUUACAGAUACAUUUUACAUUUUUAUGUUUUUAUAAAUGCAUUUUAAAAUAAAUAAAAAAUUAUAUAUUUUAUUUAUAAUGCUCGCGAAUACUUAUUCUAUCAUCGCUAUAAUGAUUUUUUCAUGUCCUGGUAAACCCUCCACCUUUCACCCAAGCACUGUGAACUUCCUUGGCUACUCAUGUAUUGCAGAGGCACAACCUUGCAAAGCAGUUUUUCCUUAGUAGAAAAUAAAAAUUGGGGUUUCAUUUUGUGUAAAGACCUAGGGCCUCAUCCAAAAAGGUUAGUCGAAAGGUGUUACUUGGAUUCCUUGGCCCUAUAUGAGCAUCCAAAAUCUUUCCAGUGCAUAGCCGAUAUAGGACUAAACACAUACCCACACUAUUUGUAAUGACCGAGGGCCUCACCUAACAAGGCUAGCUAGAAGGUGUUAUUUUAAUUUUUGGCCAGUAUAAGUACCUAAGAUUUUCUUAGUGUAUAGCCAAUCUGGGACUAAAUACAUGCUUGCAGGGACUCUCACAUACUUUUCUUGUUUAAGCUCUAGAAUUCUUGCUAGGGUAAGAGUCUAAAUCCAAUCAAAUCCAAUUAUAAAUGCCACGAUCAGCUUGUGGUCAGCUAUAGAAGGGCCCAUGCUACAUUGUCUUGUAGUCCAUAUGGGCUAUAGAUCAGGUUUGCUCUAAUACUAUGGUAAUUAUAUUAUCCAAAAAGGCUAGUCUGAAGGUGGUAGUUGGGUUUCCUGGCUCUGUAUAAGCACAUGCCUGCACGAGCUCUCACAUUGUAGUUCUAUCGUUCCUCCUCUGCUAUUCUCUCCAGCCUCUACCUUACUUCAGCUUCUUCCUCUGUUCUUCUUUUCCUUUUCUGACCCUUUUAACGGUUGCAUGAGCAGCUUCUCAUGCUGUCUUGCAAUUUGCGUGGUGCUCGUAACUAGCAAAAUCCAACCAAUACAUUAAACCUAGAAACAAGAAUAAAUUUUACCUACAUCUUACUUGUUUCCUUGCCCUAAAUAGCUGUUUUCAUUCUAGGU
rnacentral:lncRNA from 1 species